rnacentral:rRNA from 1 species
UCCUACGGGGGGCAGCAGUGGGGAAUAUUGGGCAAUGGGCGCAAGCCUGACCCAGCAACGCCGCGUGAAGGAAGAAGGCUUUCGGGUUGUAAACUUCUUUUGUCAGGGACGAAGCAAGUGACGGUACCUUGUGAGAAAGUCACGGCUAACUACGUGCCAGCAGCCGCGGUAAUACGUAGGUGACAAGCGUUGUCCGGAUUUACUGGGUGUAAAGGGCGCGUAGGCGGACUGUCAAGUCAGUCGUGAAAUACCGAAGCUUAACUUCGGGGCUGCGAUUGAAACUGACAGCCUUGAGUAUCGGAGAG